UAUGUGAUCGUCUCUCGCAUAUCAAUAAGCGGAGGAAAAGAAACUAACAAGGAUCCCCCUAGUGACGGCGAGUGAAGCGGGAAGAGCUCAAAUUUGAAAUCUUAAAGGGUUUCCCUUUACGAAUUGUAGUUUAAAGAAGUGUUUUCUGUUGAGGUUUUGGUAAAAGUUCUUUGGAAUAGGACAUCAUAGAGGGUGAGAAUCCCGUAUUUGACCUUUACUUUCAACUUUGUGAUACACUUUCAAAGAGUCGGAUUGUUUGGGAAUGCAGUCCAAAAUGGGUGGUAAAUUUCAUCUAAAGCUAAAUAUUGGCGAGAGACCGAUAGCGAACAAGUACCGUGAGGGAAAGAUGAAAAGAACUUUGAAAAGAGAGUUAAACAGCACGUGAAAUUGUCAAAAGGGAAGCGUUUGACACCAGUGUUGUUUUUCUGAAAAUCAAUUAAAGAACUGUUUAUGCUAAGUUGUUUAGACUUUAUCAGCUAACUGUUUAGUUUUGAGCUUUUCUUUAAUGCACUUUUCAGUUAACAAGUCAACAUCAAUUUCUUUUGCUGUAAAAAAGCUUGAGGAAGGUGGCUUGAGAUUCGUCUUAAGUGUUUAUAGCCUCUUGCCUAUGCAGUCGGAGAGAUUGAGGUCUGCAGCGUAGAUCCUUCGGGGCUAAAUGCAUUUGUGCUAAGUUAUAGCAUUUUAUAGACAACUUGUUGACUAUGAUUUGUCUUGUAGCUUACUCGCUUAUGUUAUUUUACCUACGCUUAGGAUGUUGACGAGACUGUCGAUCUC
rnacentral:rRNA from 1 species